rnacentral:rRNA from 1 species
AUUGAACGCUGGCGGCAUGCCUUACACAUGCAAGUCGAACGGCAGCACGGGAGCAAUCCUGGUGGCGAGUGGCGAACGGGUGAGUAAUGUAUCGGAACGUACCUUUCAGUGGGGGAGUAACGUAGCGAAAGUUAACGCUAAUACCGCAUAUUCUGUGAGCAGGAAAGACAGGGGAGUCGCAAGACCUUGCGCUGAUUGAGCGGCCGAUAUCAGAUUAGCUAGUUGGUGAGGUAAAGGACUCACCAAGGCGGACGAUCUGUAGCGGGUCGUGAGAGGAUGGUCCGCCACACUGGAACUGAGACACGGUCCAGACUCCUACGGGAGGCAGCAGUGGGGGAAGUUUU